CCUACGGGUGGCAGCAGUGGGGAAUAUUGCACAAUGGGGGAAACCCUGAUGCAGCGACGCCGCGUGAGUGAAGAAGUAUUUCGGUAUGUAAAGCUCUAUCAGCAGGGAAGAAAUAAAGUCCUUCGGAUUUUGGACGGUACCUGACUAAGAAGCCCCGGCUAACUACGUGCCAGCAGCCGCGGUAAUACGUAGGGGGCAAGCGUUAUCCGGAUUUAUUGGGUGUAAAGGGAGCGUAGACGGCAGCGCAAGUCUGGAGUGAAAUCCCAUGGCUUAACCAUGGAACUGCUUUGGAAACUGGGCAGCUGGAGUGCAGGAGAGGUAAGCGGAAUUCCUAGUGUAGCGGUGAAAUGCGUAGAUAUUAGGAGGAACACCAGUGGCGAAGGCGGCUUACUGGACUGUAACUGACGUUGAUGCUCGAAAGCGUGGGUAGCAAACAGGAUUAGAUACCCCAGUAGUC
rnacentral:rRNA from 1 species